rnacentral:rRNA from 1 species
UGGGGAAUUUUGGACAAUGGGGGAAACCCUGAUCCAGCCAUCCCGCGUGUGCGAUGAAGGCCUUCGGGUUGUAAAGCACUUUUGGCAGGAAAGAAACGUCAUGGGUUAAUACCCCGUGAAACUGACGGUACCUGCAGAAUAAGCACCGGCUAACUACGUGCCAGCAGCCGCGGUAAUACGUAGGGUGCAAGCGUUAAUCGGAAUUACUGGGCGUAAAGCGUGCGCAGGCGGUUCGGAAAGAAAGAUGUGAAAUCCCAGAGCUCAACUUUGGAACUGCAUUUUUAACUACCGGGCUAGAGUGUGUCAGAGGGAGGUGGAAUUCCGCGUGUAGCAGUGACAUGCGUAGGUAUGCGGAGGAACACCGAUGGCGAAGGCAGCCUCCUGGUAUAACACUGACGCUCAUGCACGAAAGCGUGGGGAGCAAACAGG